rnacentral:rRNA from 1 species
GAGUUUGAUCCUGGCUCAGGACGAACGCUGGCGGCGGGCUUAACACAUGCAAGUCGCAGGGGAUUCAGGGAGCUUGCUCCUUGAUGAGACUGGCGCACGGGUGAGUAACACGUAAGCAAUCUGCCUACAGGAGGGGGAUAACUUCGGGAAACCGGAGCUAAUACCGCAUAAUGCAGCGGGGCCGCAUGGCCACAGUUGUUAAAGCCUUUCGGGGUGCCUGUAGAUGAGCUUGCGUUGCAUUAGCUAGUUGGUAAGGUAACGGCUUACCAAGGCGAUGAUGCAUAGGGGGUCUGAGAGGAUGGUCCCCCACACUGGCACUGAGACACGGGCCAGACUCCUACGGGAGGCAGCAGUGAGGAAUAUUGCGCAAUGGAGGAAACUCUGACGCAGCCACGCCGCGUGCCGGAAGACGGUCCUAUGGAUUGUAAACGGCUUUUGUCAGGGAAGAACAGGCUGGUUUCGACCGGUUUUGACGGUACCUGGUGAAUAAGCACCGGCUAACUCCGUGCCAGCAGCCGCGGUAAUACGGAGGGUGCAAGCGUUGUCCGGAAUCAUUGGGUGUAAAGGGUGCGUAGGCGGGUCUUUAAGUCUGGGGUGGAAUCCUGCGGCUCAACCGUAGAAUGGCCUCAGAUACUGGAGAUCUUGAGUAUGACAGAGGUUGGCGGAAUUCGUAGUGUAGCGGUGAAAUGCAUAGAUAUUACGAAGAACACCAGUGGCGUAGGCGGCCAGCUGGGUCAUAACUGACGCUGAG